rnacentral:rRNA from 1 species
UACAGAGGUCCCAAGCGUUGUUCGGAUUCACUGGGCGUAAAGCGCACGCAGGCGGUUCGCCAAGUUUGGAGUGACAGUUGUCGGCUCAACCGAUAAAGGACUUCAAAAACUGGUGAACUUGAGAGCGAGAGAGGAACAUGGAACUCCAGGUGUAGUAGUGAAAUGCGUAGAUAUCUGGAAGAACACCAAAGGCGAAGGCAAUGUUCUGGCUCGUUUCUGACGCUCAGGUGCGAAAGCCAGGGGAGCGAACGGG